rnacentral:tRNA from 1 species
GGCGUUGUGCGAUAGUGGUUAUUCGGCGGGUCUAGAAUUUCUAAUCUCUUCAACCCGUGCCUUCUGGCUCGCAUGUUCGAAUCAUGUCAACGUCG